AACGAACGCUGGCGGCAGGCCUAACACAUGCAAGUCGAACGCUGUAGCAAUACAGAGUGGCAGACGGGUGAGUAACGCGUGGGAAACUUCCCAAUGGUACGGCAUAGCUCAGGGAAACUUGAGGUAAUACCGUAUAAGACCCUAGGGGGAAAGAUUUAUCGCGAUUGGAUGGGCACGCGUCGGAUUAGCUAGUUGGGGAGGUAACGGCUCACCAAGGCGACGAUCCGUAGCUGGUUUGAGAGAAUGACCAGCAACACUGGGACUUAGGCACUGCCCAGACUCCUACGGGAGGAAGCAGUGGGGAAUCUUGGACAAUGGGCGAAAGCCUGAUCCAGCCAUGCCGCGUGAGUGACGAAGGCCUUAGGGUUGUAAAGCUCUUUUGCCGGGUACGAUAAUGACGGUACCCGGAGAAUAAGUCCCGGCUAACUUCGUGCCAGCAGCCGCCGUAA
rnacentral:rRNA from 1 species